UCAAGCAUGAUUUUGCCUUUGUGAAUCCUGAUAUCUUUCUCUUCCACUUGCUUGCAGAUGACAUCCAGAAUAAGCUGCACCAUCUCCUUCCCAGGAACGGAGUGUGGAUGUGACAUCAGGAUUUCCUUGCCCUGUAACUUGCAUAAACCGUCUACUUAACAGCAGUUCUCAAAUUCAAGCAGAGAUGACAGAACAGACUAUGUAGGUAAAAAGACAGAAUCACAAAAUCAUGGAGGUUGGAAUGGACUUUUGGAGAUCAUCUACUCCAGCCCUCCUGCUAAAGCAGAUUGCCUGGAAUAGGUCGCACAGCAUCCAAAUGGGUUUUUAAUAUCUCCAGAGGAGACACCACCACCUCUCUGGGCGGCUUCUUCCAAUGUUAUGUCAUUCUCAAAAUAAAGAAGCUUUUU